rnacentral:rRNA from 1 species
UCACGAAGUAGCUUUGAGCUAAAUAUAUUAUAAUAUUAGUUAUUUUUAAAGGUGUUGUAUAACCUUAUUAAAAAAUUAUAUUUAGGGGUGAUAGGCUUUUCAAAAUCUAAGAUAUCUUGAAUCUAAUUAAAAGUAUGUAGUACAUUUAACACGACUAUAAAGUGAUUAGGCUUUAUAGAAACUAUUAAACCUUAAGAUAUAAUUAUUUAUUAAAAUUUAAUAACUAACUAUAUAAAUAAAUUAACAUUCAUAUAUUAUAAUUUAUAAUUGAGUAAUUAGAUAGAUAUAAGUUUGUUAAAAAUUGUAAUAAUGUUAAUAUUAGUAUGUAAUUUAUAUUUAUAUGAUGAACUCGGCAAAAAUGCUUCUCAACUGUUUAUCAAAAACAUAACUAUGUGAAUAAAUACAUAGCGGGUUCUGCUCAAUUGAUUUAUAUUAAAUAGCCGCAGUAUACUGACUGUGCAAAGGUAGCAUAAUCAAUUGACUUAUAAUUGAAGUCUAGAWUGAAUGAAAAUAAUGGGAGGCCACUAUAUUUUGUAAAUUUAUAUAAUUUAUUAAUGAAGUGAAAAUACUUCUAUAUACAUAAUAGACGAGAAGACCCUAGAAAUUUUUAGUAAUUAAAAUUUAUAUUUGAGAAAUUUUUUGUUGGGGCGACAAAGUAGCACAUAAACCUACUUUUUAUAAACUUGUACUAUAUAUAUAGAUUGAUAAAAUUACUCUAGGGAUAACAGCAUAAUAUUUUAAAGUUUAUGACCUCGAUGUUGGAUUAGGAAAUAAUAACUUAAAAGGUUUUUUAUUUUGCUCUGUUCGAGCAUUAAACUCCUACAUGAUC